rnacentral:rRNA from 1 species
GAUGAACGCUGGCGGCGUGCCUAAUACAUGCAAGUCGAGCGAACAGACGAGGAGCUUGCUCCUCUGACGUUAGCGGCGGACGGGUGAGUAACACGUGGAUAACCUACCUAUAAGACUGGGAUAACUUCGGGAAACCGGAGCUAAUACCGGAUAAUAUAUUGAACCGCAUGGUUCAAUAGUGAAAGACGGUUUUGCUGUCACUUAUAGAUGGAUCCGCGUCGCAUUAGCUAGUUGGUAAGGUAACGGCUUACCAAGGCAACGAUGCGUAGCCGACCUGAGAGGGUGAUCGGCCACCCUGGAACUGAGACACGGUCCAGACUCCUACGGGAGGCAGCAGUAGGGAAUCUUCCGCAAUGGGCGAAAGCUUGACGGAGCAACGCCGCGUGAGUGAUGAAGGUCUUCGGAUCGUAAAACUCUGUUAUUAGGGAAGAACAAAUGUGUAAGUAACUAUGCACGUCUUGACGGUACCUAAUCAGAAAGCCACGGCUAACUACGUG